GUAAAUAUAGUUUAACAAAAACAUUAGAUUGUGAAUCUAACAACAAAAGCGCAAACCUUUUUAUUUACC
rnacentral:tRNA from 1 species